UACGUAGGGUGCAAGCGUUAAUCGGAAUCACUGGGCGUAAAGCGCACGUAGGCGGCUUCUUAAGUCAGGGGUGAAAUCCUGGAGCUCAACUCCAGAACUGCCCUUGAUACUGAGGAGCUCGAGUCCGGAAGAGGUGAGUGGAACUGCGAGUGUAGAGGUGAAAUUCGUAGAUAUUCGCAAGAACACCAGUGGCGAAGGCGGCUCACUGGUCCGGUACUGACGCUGAGACGCGAAAGCGUGGGGAGCAAACAGG
rnacentral:rRNA from 1 species